GUCGGAUCCGCCGGCGCAGGCAGGGACGGCGCUCGCCCGGGGAGGGCUCAGGAAACAGCGGCCGCCAUCAUGGCCCCUGAGCCGUGGGCGGCGGUUACUGAGGCUUUCAGAGCGAAGUGGCCUAAAACGGCAGUGCGCUGGGGUCGGAGCCCUGGACCCUCUGCUCAGCCAGCGACCGGCUGCUCUGUCUCCAGCGGGCGGCGUUUUCAGCCUGAAGGACGCCGAGAGGAUAAACUGCAGGAUUUCUCCCCAGCAACUGAGAAUCCCCCGGUUAUCUUCACGCCUUCCUGCCGCGUACCGGACACCAGGUUGUCAAGGACGGAGUGUCUACGUCCCCUCCAGAUUCAUAGGCUGAAGCCCUAACCCCAGGGCGAUGGUACUUGGAGGGGGGUUUUGGGGGGACAGUUGGCUCUGCAUGAGGUGCAAGGGUGACCACGGUAGGAUAAGUGCUCUUAGAGGAAGAGGAGACACAAGUUUCCCCUCCAAGGGGACGGCCCUCUCCGAGGUGGGAGGAGGGCUCUCACCAGGAACCAAACCUGUCUGUGCCUUGAACUUGAACUUCCCAGGCUCAAGAACUAUGAGAAAUUAAUUUCAGUUGCUUGAACCACGUCGCUUUGUGGCAGCAGCCCACGCUGAUGGACACGUUUCUCUGUCUUAUGAACGCAGCCUUAUUGUUUUUGACAGAGAAGGGCUGCAAAAAAUCUGAGCAGCACAGAACAAAGGCGAUAAGGAAAAAUCGUUCCAGACCCCACUACUCAGAGACUGUCACCGAGGUCAAUUCGCCAGACAUUCUUCCAGGCACCCCUCUGGGCUUCCGUACAUGAUACCGGUUUGAUAGCAUUUUAGAUAAAUCACCUCAUCUUGGAAUAAAGAACCGCCCACCAGGGAGCUACGAGGGGACAGUGUCCUCCCACGGGGCCGAGGCGGCAAGUCUGACAUCACGGUGGUGAGGGCUGGUUCUUCCCGGAGGUUCUGAGGGGGCUCUCUCAUCCCUCCCCCAGCUUCGAGUGGCUUCUGACAACGACUCUGUCUCCUCCUCACGUGAUGUCUCCCCUGUGUGUUCUUACACGGACACACGUCAUUGGUUAGGACCCUCCCUGAUCCAGGAUGACCUCACUGUAACUAAGGUCCGAUGACCCUAUUUGUAAACAAUGUCACACUCAUAAGGACCAGACAGACGUGAGCUUUUUGUUGAGGGGGGGAUGACUUUCAACCCAGUAUCCCUGGGCGUCUCUUUAUGUAAAUAAACCUAGGCACCCAUUUUAUUAAAGACAGGAUAACAUUUCAGUGGA